GGUAUUGAAAUAAGAUUUUAAAUGAGUGCUAAGAGAAUGAUUGAACAAUUAUAGGCUUUCUUUAGUUAAAUAAUUAAAUUUAAUUUUUUUAGUGCAAAAGCAAAAAUUAAAUUUAGGGACAAGAAGACCCUAUGAAUUUUAAUUUAAUUUAUAAUUUGAAAUUUUAAAUUAAAUUUGAUUGGGGCGAUGGAAAAAGAAUGAGUAUCUUUUUUAGUUUUAAAAAUUGGUUCCGUUUUUAACGAUUAAAUGAGAAAAAUACUCUAGGGAUAACAGCGUAAUAA
rnacentral:rRNA from 1 species